rnacentral:piRNA from 1 species
UGGUCUAUCAGGGUCUGUGCUAUGUUG